rnacentral:rRNA from 1 species
GAUGAACGCUAGCGGCAGGCCUAACACAUGCAGUUGAGGGAGAAGGCCCUUUGGGGGGAGGAAACGGCGCAAGGGUGCGUUAAGCGUAUUCAAACUAACUUUUAAAGGGGGAUUGGCCGGAGAAAUUUGGAUUUAUUACCCAUAAUAAUAAUGGAUGGCAACAUUUGAUUAUUUAAACUGCGGGGGUGAAAGAUUGGCAUGCGUCCUAUUAGCUAGUUGGAGUGGUAACGGCACCCCAAGGCUACGAUAGGUAGGGGUCCUGAGAGGGAGAUCCCCCACACUGGUACUGAGACAGGGACCAGACUCCUACGGGAGGCAGCAGUGAGGAAUAUUGGUCAAUGGUCGGAAGACUGAACCAGCCAUGCCGCGUGCAGGAAGAAUGCCUUAUGGGUUGUAAACUGCUUUUAUAUGGGAAGAAUAAGGCGUACGUGUACGUUGAUGACGGUACCAUAUGAAUAAGCAUCGGCUAACUCCGUG